GGCGACGACGACGACGACGACGACGACGACAACGGCAGUGGCGGGCCGGCCACACAAAAUCAUUUUCCUUUCUAUCUCCUAUCUUCAAGGAUGAGAUUACAGGAAUCUUCACUUACCGUAUAUUCGACGAUCCUCGAACAGCGACCAUGUAUAAACGAACACCGACACAGGGCCCCCUUUACGGAACUGAAGUAACGUUGACGGUAGGCUCAUGAACAAAGACCACGCACGAUUUCAAAUCUCGUCCCGCCUAUUGGCCGGCCGAAGUCACGUGAUGCGGCCUAGGCCAUACUCAUUGGUCGGUACAUUUCGUUCGCGAGGAUGUUUUAAAUGCUACACCAUUUGCACAUGGCUGACAAAGGAAUUUACGCGAGAUAUCUUUUUAGACUUUGUUAUGACUUCUCAAAGAUUUUUUUGACCUCGAACAUUCGGCCUACCGAUUAUGUUAAAUCCUUCGCUUGGUAACACCCACGAAAAUCUCCAAACGAUUGGCAUGAAUGACAGAAGUGGCAGCAUGUUUUUCUUCCAUUUUCCCCCUCCCCGCCGCAAGAAAAUGGCCGAGUCCAUGCACGAAGAAAAAAUUCUUCUUACUCCUGAUUAAUAAAUUAUUUUGAUAUUUUGAGGACCAUCCGAGGAAGUUAUUAUUUUUAAACACUAUCACACGAAAUAUCAUUCACAACUUUCAUCGUUACGUCGAUAAAAUAAUUGAGAUAAAGUCGAAGAAGAUGGACGAGUCUAUUACUUUGUUAGAGAGGGAUGGUUGGCAUAUGGUUAACAAUGAACCCACUACGUACGACAAUGGCGAGAAUACACAUUUGUGCGCACCGAUAUAUCGACUUCUAGAUCAA